CUCUAUGUUCAGGUCGGUUCCUCAAUGUCACACAGUGAUGGAUGAUUCAUAUUGGUGCCCAGGAGCGGACGUGUGGGAACUUGAUAAGCGCGUGCUCGCGAGCGCGUGUCCUAUCUACGUUUUUAUUUUGUUACACUGUAAUGUAACAAGGACGAUUUAUUAUACUAAAAUAAACACAUCAAUUUGGGAUCAUUUUGACAUUGAACGAAUGUUUCAGAUUUUCUCCAGAAUAGUUUUGGGCGUCCUGGCUGAGGUUGUACAUUAACAUUAACUCGUCAUGCAGUGGGAGACAAAGUCUGGCCAACAAAAUCAAGUGAGACCUGAGCCGAGAAAACAGAUGUUGAAGAGCUGCUGUUACCGAUGUUUCAGGAACAUUCUUAAAGGAUUUUUGCUUCAGAAUGUUUGGUCCCUAAUGCCAUACAAAAACAAGGAAUUAUGGAGCUAAAAUUGAGCAUGUUGUGUUUGUUUUUCCUGGGAAUUCUGCCUGUUUCAUGUUGGAACGUUUGGCAAUGUCUGAUGAAGACAACGAUCAACGUGAUCCUGCUGGAUGAUCAGGAUUCUCCCUUCAGCAUGAAAUUUGUUAGGGAUGAAAUACUGAAGGGCAUUGAGAAGGAUGCAGCCGUGAACGCUGACCAAGGUCUGGAUUUCAACCUCACAGCCAACUUUGGAGGCUUCAACACCACCAUCUAUAAAUACAAAGGCUGCUUCAGCACCACCUGUGAGGGGGUGGAGGAACUGAAGAGUCUGAUGGACACAAAAGCCCUGGGAUGUGCCGUGCUGGGACCCACCUGUACCUGGGCCACCCUCCCUAUGGUUGAUGCACAUACAGGUCUGAAGCUCAGCACACCCAUCAUCUCCGCAGGAAGCUUCGGUCUCGCCUGUGACUACGCCCUCAACCUGCACCGCCUUCUACCACCAGCACGAAAAAUCACCAACUUCUUCAUCCGCUUUUGGAGAGAAGAAAACGACUUUAAACCAGAGUGGAAGACGGCCUAUGUCUACAAGACCACCAACACUGAGGACUGCUAUUGGUAUAUAGAGGCCAUGGAUGUUGGCACCAGUCCAUUUUCCAGAAACAUUAAUAGAACGGUUCUGCGAAGAGCGGAUGAUUUGUAUGAAGUUCUGAAGUCAAAAACAAAAAGAACAAGCAACUUGUUCAUCAUGUGUGGUUCUCCGAAAGAUAUGCUGGUGGUGAAACAGAACUGCCCUGCGGCCGACAGCAACAAGAUCCUCUUCAUCCUCCUGGAUCUCUACAAUGAUGAAUAUUACAUCAACAUAACAUCCCUACCUUACAUGAAGAAUGUGUUGGUGGUGACGAUGCCGAACACCAGAAACUACACCAUCCACUCAGACCUGAAAGGAAACGACACAAUGAACGACUACAUGGCUGCGUACCACGACUCUGUGCUGCUGAUAGGACAGGUGAUGAGGGAUCUGGUACAAAAACCGAUCGCUGAGACUCAGCUGAUGGAAUAUGUCAACGUGAAUUACUUCAGGAACACAACCUUUAAUGGAACUGCUGGACUCUACAAACUGGACAGUUUUGGAGACCGAGAUGUGAAUCUCAGUGUCAUAUACACAAGCACUGACAAUCAGUAUCGUCUUUUAUUAUCUUUUGACACUGAGACCAACGUGACCACAGUGAUGGAGAAGGAUCCUACCUUCAUCUGGGGGCAGAGACUUCCUGAGUUCAAACCAGAAUAUGGUAUAUCGCCACCUGAUAUUGUUGUCAUAGUGUUGGCUGUUACGAUUGUUGUUGUGGCCACCAUCGCCUUCAUUUUCUACAGGCAGAACAAGACAGAGCGUCGCCUCAGGAAACGCUGGUCACACAUCCCUUCAGAUUUCAUCUCUCUGCUGGACAAUGAUAAACUGAAUGUUAUCUCUUUGAAGAUUGAAAAUGAAGGCAAAAAUAAGAAUUUUCAGAUUCGACGGGCUUUAUACGACAAGAAGAUUGUUAUUCUCAAAGAGCUGAAGCACUCCGAUGGAAACUUCAGUGAAAAACAGAGGAUAGAACUCAACUCUCUCCGACACAUCGACUAUUACAGUCUGUCUAAGUUUUACGGGACAGUGAAGAUUGAACAGGGUGUCUUUGGAGUCUUUGAGUACGGAGAGAGAGGAUCACUCAAGUAUGUACUGAAUGACAAGGUUUCUUACCCAGAGGAGACCUUCAUGGACUGGGAGUUCAAGAUCUCCGUCAUGUAUGAUAUCACCAAGGGCAUGUCCUACCUUCACUCCAGCGACAUCCAGGUGCACGGCCGCCUCAAGUCCACAAACUGUGUCCUGGACAAUCGUAUGGUGGUGAAGAUCACAGACUUUGGCUGCAACAGCUUCCUGAGUCCUGUAAAGGACCUGUGGACGGCGCCAGAGCAUCUGAGGAAACACGGCACGUCUCAGAAAGGAGACGUGUACAGCUUUGCCAUCAUCUCUCAGGAGAUUGUCCUCAGGAAGUGCACCUUUUAUACAGGGGCCUGUAGAGACAGAGCAGAGAAGCUGGCCCGGGUCAUGACGUCCUACUUUAGACCUGAUCUUAAAUUUGAGACGGCAACAGAGAAAGAGGCAGAGGUUUAUAUGCUGAUAAAAAGCUGUUGGGACGAAGACCCAGAAAAAAGACCAGACUUCAAGAAAGUAGAAAACUUUCUGUGCAAGAUCAUCAGUAAAAUUCAUAACCAGGACAAUGAGAGCUACAUGGAUAACAUGAUCAGACGGCUGCAGAUGUACUCCAAGAACCUGGAACACCUGGUGGAGGAGAGGACAGCGCUAUACAAAGCAGAGAGGGACAGAGCUGACUGCCUCAACUUCAUGCUGCUUCCUGGUCCAGUUGUGAGGAGCCUGAAGGAGACAGGUGUGGUGGAGCCGGAGCUUUACGACGAGGUGACCAUAUAUUUUAGUGACAUUGUGGGUUUCACCACUCUGUGUCAGUACAGCACACCGAUGGAGGUGGUGGACAUGCUCAACGACAUCUACAAGGGCUUUGACGGAAUAGUCGACUACCACGACGUUUAUAAGGUGGAGACCAUAGGUGAUGCCUACAUGGUGGCGUCUGGGCUGCCAAAGAGAAAUGGCAACAGACACGCUGUGGACAUCUGCCGCAUGGCUCUGGACAUCCUGUCGUUCAUGGGCACCUUCCAGCUCCGACACCUUCCGGGCAUCCCUGUGUGGAUACGUAUCGGCGUGCAUUCAGGUCCCUGUGCAGCAGGAGUCGUAGGGAUGAAGAUGCCCAGAUAUUGUCUGUUUGGAGACACGGUCAACACGGCGUCUCGUAUGGAGUCAACAGGACACCCUCUGCGUAUCCACGUCAGUCAACCCACUAUAAAUAUCCUGCAGAGAACAGACUGUAGGUUUGAGUAUGAGAUGAGAGGAGAGACGCACCUGAAGGGUAAAGGCACAGAGACGACAUACUGGUUGACGGGGGAAACUGGGGAAGACUACGAUCUCCCAACUCCUCCCACAAGAGAAAACUUCCAGCGGCUCCAGCAGGACCUGGCUCACAUGAUCCUGAUGUGUCUGGAGCAGCGUUCCCGACAGUCAGUACGGAGGAAGAAGCGACCGCGUCCAAGCAAGGAGGGGAAAUCAGAGGCGGAGGCUGAGAGUCAGCACCUCGAGUACCUGCAUUUGGCCACUGUGGACAACACACUCAGCACCUUUCUGUAGCACAGAGAUGACUGUGUCUGAGGAAGUGGAGAAAAAAACACCAGCAGGUGGAGAGAGAUUUUUUCAUGCUACAUUUAAUGACCAUGUUCAACAUGACUCCAAAAUCUAUGACAAAAUUGCACAUUGGUACACAUAUUGUCAAUGUCACUAAUUAACAAAUUAACUAAUUAACAAAUCUGAUCUCAGUUGUGAGCAUCACUUUAUCACCCGUGUCCAAUGUCUUUUUUAUUCACCUUUUUAUCCAGAAUUUCUUUUUGUAAAUAUAUGUCUCUUUUUUUGUUUGCAUACCAAUAAACAUCUUGAUUGUUGAAUUACAUGUCAGUAUAUUAUAUGUUUUUACUGUCAAUAGUUUGUCAUUACUUCAGCCAAAGUGGUUUUUACUUAUAGACUUAUCUAGACCGGUUUAAUGACGGACCUUUUAUAGUUGAAGUGAUGGGACAAGUAGUUCCUAUGCCUUCCUGUAGGGGGCGUCUGUGGUCAACUGGUACCGUUGUUCUUCUUCUACCUUCUAUCUAUGGCAAAGCAGAACGUGAAAAAAUGUUUGUUCACGUUGUCUUUGCGUCAUUUGAAAGCCUAUAUCUGAACAAAGAACUUUCCAGAAGAUGAAACUACUUUUACGACUUUUUUUUCAGUCCAUAAACGUUUAAAGGUUAACUGGCUUCAUUUACAAGAGAAGUCAUGGUAUCUGUACUACCGGCGAUUGGCCUCCCUCUAGUGGUAUACCUGAGAAACUGAUUCCCAUUUGGAUGACAAAAGGUAAGUCACAUUUUGCUCAAAUCCGCUAUAUAUUCUUGGUUUUAUUAUGCUUGGUUAUAGAAUUAUAUAAAAAUAGCUGAAAUGAUGCUUCCUGGAACGCUGGUUGGUGAAUGAACUAAUUAUAACAUUUGGAAUAAAAUGUCUCAAAACAAUUUUUAUCCAAGAGAUGCUUUAUUAUUUAAGUGACAUUCAUGAGCAAAAUCUUUUUGCUUUUCGAAAAAAAAAAAAAGGCCAGCUUUUGUUGAAAUACAGCUGAUUCAAAUUUAAAAAAGGUCAUUAACGUAAGCUUCUUUAUCUUAUCUGAAGCCUGACUAAUCUUGGGUCACACUGAUUUAUUUUGUUUUGUUUUCAUGACUGUUGACAGCAGCAAAGUCCAGCAUCAAAUAAACCUGUAAUUUGUAAAUAAUAAUGAAUAAGUCUGUAUAAAGUGUGCGUAUGAAAUAUCAGGUGAAAACCAUUCAAUGGAUAGAAAACAAAAUGAAACAAUUCAGUGUGAAUCCAGCGGUUAAAGAAACUGGAUAAACAAAGUGAGGUGUAAAAAAAGAACCUAACCUGACGCUAAAACAGUUUUCAUUAAAUAGGAAAACUCGUCAAACUAUUCUAGUCUGUUCAACAGCAUUUACAUGUACUAAGAUAAUAAACAAGCAUUUUCACUUCACCAGAUGACUGCGUUUGAAAGAUAACCAGAACAGUGGAACACAAACAGUUCAUCUGUGAUGUCGUAUCUUCCCUCC